rnacentral:rRNA from 1 species
CGCGUGCACUGGUCCGGCCGGGCCUUUCCCUCUGCGGAACCCCAUGCCCUUCACUGGGCGUGGCGGGGAAACAGGACUUUUACUUUGAAAAAAUUAGAGUGCUCAAGGCAGGCCUAUGCUCGAAUACAUUAGCAUGGAAUAAUGAAAUAGGACGUUGCGGUUCUAUUUUGUUGGUUUCUAGGACCGCCGUAAUGAUUAAUAGGGACAGUCGGGGGCAUCAGUAUUCAAUUGUCAGAGGUGAAAUUCUUGGAUUUAUUGAAGACUAACUACUGCGAAAGCAUUUGCCAAGGAUGUUUUCAUUAAUCAGGAACGAAAGUUAGGGGAUCGAAGACGAUCAGAUACCGUCGUAGUCUUAACCAUAAACUAUGCCGACUAGGGAUCGGACGAUGUUAUAUUUUUUGACGCGUUCGGCACCUUACGAGAAAUCAAAGUGCUUGGGCUCCAGGGGGAGUAUGGUCGCAAGGCUGAAACUUAAAGAAAUUGACGGAAGGGCACCACCAGGGGUGGAGCCUGCGGCUUAAUUUGACUCAACACGGGGAAACUCACCAGGUCCAGACACAAUGAGGAUUGACAGAUUGAGAGCUCUUUCUUGAUUUUGUGGGUGGUGGUGCAUGGCCGUUCUUAGUUGGUGGAGUGAUUUGUCUGCUUAAUUGCGAUAACGAACGAGACCUUAACCUGCUAAAUAGCCCGUGCUGCUUUGGCAGCACGCCGGCUUCUUAGAGGGACUAUCGG